rnacentral:rRNA from 1 species
UACGUAGGUGGCAAGCGUUGUCCGGAUUUAUUGGGUUUAAAGGGUGCGUAGGCGGUUUUGUAAGUCAGUGGUGAAAUACUCCAGCUUAACUGGAGGGGUGCCAAUGAUACUGCAGAACUUGAGUACAGAUGAGGUAGGCGGAAUUGACGGUGUAGCGGUGAAAUGCAUAGAUAUCGUCAAGAACACCGAUAGCGAAGGCAGCUUACUGGGCUGCAACUGACGCUGAGGCACGAAAGUGUGGGGAGCAAACAGG